rnacentral:rRNA from 1 species
AGAGUUUGAUCCUGGCUCAGAUUGAACGCUGGCGGUAUGCUUAACACAUGCAAGUCGAACGGAAACGAAACUAGCUUGCUAGUAGGCGUCGAGUGGCGGACGGGUGAGUAACGCGUAGGAAUCUGCCUGAUAGUGGGGGAUAGCCCGAAGAAAUUCGGAUUAAUACCGCAUAAUCUAUUCGUAGUAAAGUGAGGGACUUUUGAGCCUCACGCUAUCAGAUGAGCCCGCACUUGAUUAGCUAGUUGGUAAGGUAAUGGCUUACCAAGGCAACGAUCAAUAGCUGAUCUGAGAGGAUGAUCAGCCACAUUGGGACUGAGACACGGCCCAAACUCCUACGGGAGGCAGCAGUGGGGAAUCUUGCACAAUGGGGGAAACCCUGAUGCAGCGAUGCCGCGUGAGUGAAGAAGGCCUUUGGGUUGUAAAGCUCUUUCGUCGGGGAAGAAAAUGACUGUACCCGAAUAAGAAGGUCCGGCUAACUUCGUGCCAGCAGCCGCGGUAAUACGAAGGGACCUAGCGUAGUUCGGAAUUACUGGGCUUAAAGAGCUCGUAGGUGGUUAGAAAAGUUAGUGGUGAAAUCCCAAGGCUCAACCUUGGAACUGCCACUAAAACUUUUUAACUAGAGUGUGAUAGAGGUAAGUGGAAUUUCUAGUGUAGAGGUGAAAUUCGUAGAUAUUAGAAAGAACACCAAUUGCGAAGGCAGCUUUCUGGAUCAUUACUGACACUGAGGUGCGAAAGCAUGGGUAGCGAAGAGGAUUAGAUACCCUCGUAGUCCAUGCCGUAAACGAUGUGUGCUAGACGUUGGAAAUUUAUUUUUCAGUGUCGCAGCAAAAGCGUUAAGCACACCGCCUGGGGAGUACGACCGCAAGGUUAAAACUCAAAUGAAUUGACGGGGACCCGCACAAGUAGUGGAGCAUGUGGUUUAAUUCGAAGAUACGCGCAGAACCUUACCAACACUUGACAUGUUCGUCGCGACUUUAAGAGAUUAGAGUCUUCGGUUCGGCCGGACGAAACACAGGUGCUGCAUGGCUGUCGUCAGCUCGUGUCGUGAGAUGUUGGGUUAAGUCCCGCAACGAGCGCAACCCUUACUUUUAGUUGCUAUCAUUUAGUUGAGCACUCUAAAAGAACUGCCAGUGAUAAGCUGGAGGAAGGUGGGGAUGACGUCAAGUCCUCAUGGCCCUUACGUGUUGGGCUACACACGUGCUACAAUGGUAUUUACAGUGGGAUGCAAAGAGGCAACUCUAAGCCAAACCCAAAAAGAUACCUCAGUUCGGAUUGCACUCUGCAACUCGAGUGCAUGAAGCUGGAAUUACUAGUAAUCGUGGAUCAGCGCGCCACGGUGAAUACGUUCCCGGGUCUUGUACACACCGCCCGUCACACCAUGGAAGUUGGUUACACCUUAAGGCAAAGUGUAAAAACUUUGACUACGGUACGAUCAGCGACUGGGGUGAAGUCGUAACAAGGUAACC